rnacentral:rRNA from 1 species
AUUGAACGCUGGCGGCAUGCCUUACACAUGCAAGUCGAACGGCAGCACGGGUGCUUGCACCUGGUGGCGAAUGGCGAACGGGUGAGUAAUACAUCGGAACGUACCUUAUCGUGGGGGAUAACGCAGCGAAAGCUGUGCUAAUACCUCAUACGCCCUGAGGGGGAAAGCGGGGGAUCGCAAGACCUCGCGCGAUUAGAGCGGCCGAUGCCUGAUUAGCUUGUUGGUGGGGUAAAAGCCCACCAAGGCGACGAUCAGUAGCUGGUCUGAGAGGACGAUCGGCCACACUGGGGCUGAGGCGCGGGCCAGACUCCUACGGGAGGCAGCAGUGGGGAAUUUUGGACAAUGGGGGCAACCCUGAUCCAGCAAUGCCGCGUGAGUGAAGAAGGCCUUCGGGUUGUAAAGCUCUUUUGUCAGGGAAGAAACACCGGCUCUAACACAGUCCGGGAAUGACGGUACCUGAAGAAUAAGCACCGGCUAACUACGUGCCAGCCGCCGCCGUAA